rnacentral:lncRNA from 1 species
ACCUUUAUAUCCAAUUGGUGGCACUAUGAGCUGUUCAUUACGAAGGUACAUGGUUUGCUACUAUCUUGCUACUCUUUUUGUACUGUCAUUAGAUAGUAAUACUAGUGGUUUGCAUGUGAAUUUAUUGGCAGGGUGGACCUACAUUGGAGGUGCAGGACAGGAUUCAAUGAUUGGAUGCUCAAUUUCGGUUGUAUCGAUUUCACCUCUUCCAUCACGGCGAACAUGGAUAUCCUUGGUCUGAUGAAGAAUAGGCGCUAUAUUUCUGCUCUGAACCAGCAAAUCAAUUCAGUAUGAAAUUGUCCAGGGCAAAACAUAACUGUAUCAGAUUGUCUAGUGCAGAACAUGACAGAUGCUAAGCGGAAGAGACAUGUUUAAACC